GUUAUUCGGAAUUACUGGGCGUAAAGCGCGUGUAGGCGGUUUGUUAAGUCUGAUGUGAAAGCCCCGGGCUCAACCUGGGAAGUGCAUUGGAUACUGGCAGACUUGAAUACGGGAGAGGAGAGUGGAAUUCCUAGUGUAGGAGUGAAAUCCGUAGAUAUUAGGAGGAACACCGGUGGCGAAGGCGGCUCUCUGGACCGAUACUGACGCUGAGACGCGAAAGCGUGGGUAGC
rnacentral:rRNA from 1 species